ACUCCUACGGGAGGCAGCAGUGGGGAAUUUUGGACAAUGGGGGCAACCCUGAUCCAGCCAUGCCGCGUGAGUGAAGAAGGCCUUCGGGUUGUAAAGCUCUUUCGGCGGGGAAGAAAUGGCAACGGCUAAUAUCCGUUGUUGAUGACGGUACCCGCAUAAGAAGCACCGGCUAACUACGUGCCAGCAGCCGCGGUAAUACGUAGGGUGCGAGCGUUAAUCGGAAUUACUGGGCGUAAAGCGUGCGCAGGCGGUUUCGUAAGACAGACGUGAAAUCCCCGGGCUCAACCUGGGAACUGCGUUUGUGACUGCGAGGCUAGAGUACGGCAGAGGGGGGUAGAAUUCCACGUGUAGCAGUGAAAUGCGUAGAGAUGUGGAGGAAUACCGAUGGCGAAGGCAGCCCCCUGGGUUAGUACUGACGCUCAUGCACGAAAGCGUGGGGAGCAAACAGGAUUAGAUACCCUGGUAGU
rnacentral:rRNA from 1 species